rnacentral:rRNA from 1 species
UACAGAGGUCCCAAGCGUUGUUCGGAUUCACUGGGCGUAAAGGGUGCGUAGGUGGCGAGGUAAGUCGGAUGUGAAAGCUCGGAGCUCAACUCCGAAAUGGCAUUGGAAACUACCUUGCUCGAGGGUUGGAGGGGGACUGGAAUGCUUGGUGUAGCAGUGAAAUGCGUAGAUAUCAAGCGGAACACCAGUGGCGAAGGCGAGUCCCUGGACAACUCCUGACACUGAGGCACGAAAGCUAGGGGAGCAAACGGG